UACGUAGGUGGCAAGCGUUGUCCGGAUUUAUUGGGCGUAAAGAGCUCGUAGGCGGUCUGUCGCGUCGAUCGUGAAAACUUGGGGCUUAACCCUGAGCUUGCGGUCGAUACGGGCAUGACUGGAGUUCGGCAGGGGAGACUGGAAUUCCUGGUGUAGCGGUGAAAUGCGCAGAUAUCAGGAGGAACACCGUGGCGAAGGCGGGUCUCUGGGCCGAUGACUGACGUGAGGAGCGAAAGCGUGGGGAGCGAACAGG
rnacentral:rRNA from 1 species